rnacentral:lncRNA from 1 species
UCACGAAUGAUGAAUAGACGAACGCAGCCACUGACUUUUUUUUUUAAAACCCUAUGCACCUAAUUAAUGAAUCAAGUCUCAACCCUCCCGCUUCUUCUCUCUCAAAACAUCUCUCUUAGGAAUGACGAACAGAACAAGCAUAGCUUGGUAGCUACAGCCUCCAUCCUCCGACCUCUCUUACUCUCUUGUGUACUCAUUGCAGUCCUAUAAUUGGAUUAUUCUACUAUUUUAUACCAAUCAGGUACUCUCUCGAUCAUGUUAAUGUUAUCUCAUAUUUAUUUAUCUAUUUGUUAAAAUUUUAAUAUGAUUAUAUGAAAUUUUCUAUGAAAAAUCUGAUUUUGUAGUUUAGUUGAAUAGUUAAUUGGUGUUUAAUUGAAUAGUGAAUUAGUAUUUAUUUGAACAGUUAAAUUAUGGAGAGAUACUUAAAAAAAAACUCUAUUAUCACAAAGCUCAUCUCAAUGCCA